CUGCUGGCAUGUUUGCAAAAUAGCACAAGGUGCUGUAAAAUGAAGAUAUAUUGUUAAAUAUCAUGAGAUAGAAAUAAAAGAUGAAGAUCUAGCUGUACCCGUCCCGAGCCACACUACUGCAGCCACGUUGCUGCUGGCAUUUUUGCAAAAUAGCACAAGGUCACAACAAUUGAUGUAACAAAUAUAAUCAAUGGACCAGGCACCUGCACCAUGAUUCUUUGGAAUACUAAAAUUCGUCUCUUUAUGUCUGUACUUCUCAUAAUGAAAAAUGUCACGUUUUUAUGAAAGAAAUAAUGGAAUCAAAUAAUAAAUAAAACAAGCAUAUGCUGGAA
rnacentral:lncRNA from 1 species